rnacentral:rRNA from 1 species
GACGAACGCUGGCGGCGUGCUUAACACAUGCAAGUCGAACGGAAAGGCCCUGCUUUUGUGGGGUGCUCGAGUGGCGAACGGGUGAGUAACACGUGAGUAACCUGCCCUUGACUUUGGGAUAACUUCAGGAAACUGGGGCUAAUACCGGAUAGGAGCUCCUGCUGCAUGGUGGGGGUUGGAAAGUUUCGGCGGUUGGGGAUGGACUCGCGGCUUAUCAGCUUGUUGGUGGGGUAGUGGCUUACCAAGGUUUUGACGGGUAGCCGGCCUGAGAGGGUGACCGGCCACAUUGGGACUGAGAUACGGCCCAGACUCCUACGGGAGGCAGCAGUGGGGAAUAUUGCACAAUGGGCGGAAGCCUGAUGCAGCAACGCCGCGUGCGGGAUGACGGCCUUCGGGUUGUAAACCGCUUUCGCCUGUGACAAAGCGUGAGUGACGGUAAUGGGUAAAGAAGCACCGGCUAACUACGUG